UACGUAGGGUGCAAGCGUUGUCCGGAAUUAUUGGGCGUAAAGAGCUCGUAGGCGGUCUGUUGCGUCGGCUGUGAAAACCCGGGGCUCAACUCCGGGCCUGCAGCCGAUACGGGCAGACUAGAGUUCGGCAGGGGAGACUGGAAUUCCUGGUGUAGCGGUGAAAUGCGCAGAUAACAGGAGGAACACCGAUGGCGAAGGCAGCUCGCUGGGACGGUACUGACGCUGAGGCGCGAAAGCGUGGGGAGCAAACAGG
rnacentral:rRNA from 1 species